AUUUGAUAAGCGAUAUAAACCAUUUAACUCUCCCAAGUGGAGGUCGUCCUCUUAGUCAUACUCUAUUGGACCAUGCUUAGAAAGGGCUCCAGCCAAGAAUCACCCCUCAUCUCUUAAGGCUGCCCGCCCGUGCACCUUCAGAUCAAUCUCGCUCUAUGGCAGUGUAGAAUGACAUGCGCCAUGGACUCAUCCUCCAAUCUGCACAC
rnacentral:lncRNA from 1 species